rnacentral:rRNA from 1 species
GUAGGUGGCAAGCGUUGUCCGGAAUUAUUGGGCGUAAAGCGCGCGCAGGCGGUCCUUUAAGUCUGAUGUGAAAGCCCACGGCUCAACCGUGGAGGGUCAUUGGAAACUGGGGGACUUGAGUACAGAAGAGGAAAGCGGAAUUCCAAGUGUAGCGGUGAAAUGCGUAGAGAUUUGGAGGAACACCAGUGGCGAAGGCGGCUUUCUGGUCUGUAACUGACGCUGAGGCGCGAAAGCGUGGGGAGCAAACAGGGAUUAGAUACCCUGGUGGUCCACGCCGUAAACGAUGAGUGCUAAGUGUUAGGGGGUUUCCCGCCCCUUAGUGCUGCAGCUAACGCAUUAAGCACUCCGCCUGGGGAGUACGGCCGCAAGGCUG